CCUACGGGUGGCAGCAGUGAGGAAUAUUGGUCAAUGGACGAGAGUCUGAACCAGCCAAGUCGCGUGAAGGAUGAAUGAUCUAUGGUUUGUAAACUUCUUUUAUAUAGGAAUAAAGUGAGGAACGUGUUCCUUUUUGUAUGUACUUUAUGAAUAAGCAUCGGCUAACUCCGUGCCAGCAGCCGCGGUAAUACGGAGGAUCCGAGCGUUAUCCGGAUUUAUUGGGUUUAAAGGGAGCGUAGAUGGUUAAUUAAGUCAGUGGUGAAAGUUUGAGGCUCAACCAUAAAAUUGCAAUUGAUACUGGUUGUCUUGAGUAUAGUUGAGGUAGGCGGAAUGCGUGGUGUAGCGGUGAAAUGCAUAGAUAUCACGAAGAACCCCGAUUGCGAAGGCAGCUUACUAAACUAUGACUGACAUUGAUGCUCGAAAGUGUGGGUAUCAAACAGGAUUAGAUACCCGGGUAGUC
rnacentral:rRNA from 1 species